rnacentral:rRNA from 1 species
ACUCAAAUGAAUUGACGGGGCCCCGCACAAGCAGCGGAGCGUGUGGUUUAAUUCGAUGCAACGCGAAAAACCUUACCUGGGCUUGACAUCUACUUGCAAUCCUAUGAAAGUAGGACCUCUACGGACAGGUGGACAGAUGUUGCAUGGCUGUCGUCAGCUCGUGUCGUGAGAUGUUGGGUUAAGUCCCGCAACGAGCGCAACCCUUGUUUCUAGUUGCAAAUCUAGAGAGACUGCCGGAAACAAACCGGAGGAAGGUGGGGAUGACGUCAAGUCAGCAUGACUCUUACGUCCAGGGCUACACACACGCUACAAUGGCCGUUACAGAGAGAAGCCACCCCGCGAGGGGGAGCAGAGCUCGAAAAGGCGGCCUCAGUUCAGAUUGCACUCUGCAACCCGAGUGCAUGAAGUCGGAGUUGCUAGUAACCGCGUGACAGCAUAGCGCGGUGAAUAUGUUCCCGGGGCUUGCACACACCGCCCGU